rnacentral:tRNA from 1 species
AAAGAAUUAGUUAAAAUUAACAUUAGUAUGUCAUGCUAAAAUUAUUAGUAUAAUCUAAUAUUCUUUGA